AGUUCAAACACUGAUUGAGCGAUUACAUGAGACAUAAGGAUUUCGUGGCGGUGAUGCGGAAAACCGUUGGAAGUUGAGGACGCGGAGAUGAAAAGGAAUGUAUGAUGAAGUAUAGCAAGGUCCUCAAGGAGACAAUGAAGGCUCUGCCCCUCCCAUGCCUCUUCCUGCAUCUCUAGUCCGUGUUCUUGGCCUUGCUUUUGAGUUUUGUCUCACUUGCUGCUUCGGGCAAGAUAAGACAUGACCAAUGAGAG